GACGAACGCUGGCGGCGUGCUUAACACAUGCAAGUCGAACGGAAAGGCCCUGCUUUUGUGGGGUGCUCGAGUGGCGAACGGGUGAGUAACACGUGAGUAACCUGCCCUUGACUUUGGGAUAACUUCAGGAAACUGGGGCUAAUACCGGAUCGGAUCUCCUGCUCCAUGGUGGGGGUUGGAACGUUUCGGCGGUUGGGGAUGGACUCGCGGCUUACCAGCUUGUUGGUGGGGUAGUGGCUUACCAAGGAUUUGACGGGUAGCCGGCCUGAGAGGGUGACCGGCGACAUGAGGACUGAGAGACGGACCAGACGCCAAUGGGAGGCAGCAGGGGGGAGUAUUGCACAAUGGGCGGGAGCCUGAUGCAGCGACGCCGCGUGCGGGAUGACGGCCUUCGGGGUGUGAACCGCUUUCGCCUGUGACGAAGCGUGAGUGACGGUAAUGGGUAAAGAAGCACCGGCUAACUACGUG
rnacentral:rRNA from 1 species